rfam:Beta vulgaris subsp. vulgaris chromosome 7, whole genome shotgun sequence.
AUACCUUUCUCGGCCUUUUGCCUAAGAUCAAGUGUAGUAUCUGUUCUUAUCAGUUUAAUAUCUGAUACGUGGGUCAUUGACCGACAAAGAUAUUAAUUUUUUUUUUAGGGGUGGAUCGACCACAAUAGCUUGCUAUUGUGAAGCUAUUGUGAUCAUCAUUUAGAAUUUCGUAUGUUCUCUGGAGCCGUUAACCUUU